rnacentral:rRNA from 1 species
GUUGCCUGUGAAACGAAUCUAAGUUCACUCUUAAUUCUUCUCCAAGGAACACUAAACCCCAAUGAAGCGAAUUAAGGGCUAUUUAAAGGGGGUACAGCUCCUUUAAAAAAGAGUACAAUCUCUACGAGCGGAUAAAUAACCUUCACAAAAACUUAUUGUGGGCCCUCAAGCAGCCAUCAACAAAGAGUGCGUUAAAGCUCCGAAUCCCAAAAAUAUAAGAACAAUAUGAAUCCCUCCUCACUAACAGGCUAACCUAUACCCAAAUAGGAGAAUUAAUGCUAGAAUGAGUAACCAGGGUCCUCCCUCUACGACGCAAGCUUACAUCAAUACAUUAUUAACAAACACCCAAUAUACGACCAACACAACAAGCAGAGUAUUAAGCACAUUGUUAACCCGACAGAGGAGCGUCCACUAAGAAAGAUUAAAACCUGCAAAAGGAACUAGGCAAACCCGUCAAGGCCCGACUGUUUACCAAAAACAUAGCCUUCAGCAAACCAAAGCAAGUAUUGAAGGUGAUGCCUGCCCGGUGACCUGAGGUUUAACGGCCGCGGUAUCCUA